UCUUGACUAGUAUAUCGGUUAGUACACGCGCUUGUCAUGACCCUGCCGGCAUACUUUCGCGCGAAAGCUGGGUUCGACUCCCAGGUCGAGAG